UUUCGAAUCGUUCACAAUGGGGGCAACCCUGAUGGCGCGACGCCGCGUGGGGGAUGAAGGUCUUCGGAUUGUAAACUCCUGUCAUUGGGGACUAAUGGCCAGGCUCAUACCCUGGUUUGAAUUAACCCAAAGAGGAAGCAGUGGCUAACUCUGUGCCAGCAGCCGCGGUAAUACAGAGACUGCAAGCGUUACUCGGAUUCACUGGGCGUAAAGGGAGCGCAGGCGGACUCGUGUGUCGGACGUGAAAUACCGGGGCUUAACCCCGGUGCUGCGUUCGAAACUACGAGUCUAGAGACUUGGAGGGGUAAGCGGAAUUCUUGGUGGAGCAGUGAAAUGCGUAGAUAUCAAGAGGAACACCAACGGCGAAGGCAGCUUACUGGACAAGAUCUGACGCUCAGGC
rnacentral:rRNA from 1 species